rnacentral:rRNA from 1 species
GAUGAACGCUGGCGGCGUGCCUAAUACAUGCAAGUCGAGCGAACAGAUGAGGAGCUUGCUCCUCUGACGUUAGCGGCGGACGGGUGAGUAACACGUGGAUAACCUACCUAUAAGACUGGGAUAACUUCGGGAAACCGGAGCUAAUACCGGAUAAUAUAUUGAACCGCAUGGUUCAAUAGUGAAAGACGGUUUUGCUGUCACCUAUAGAUGGAUCCGCGCCGCAUUAGCUAGUUGGUAAGGUAACGGCUUACCAAGGCAACGAUGCGUAGCCGACCUGAGAGGGUGAUCGGCCACACUGGAACUGAGACACGGUCCAGACUCCUACGGGAGGCAGCAGUAGGGAAUCUUCCGCAAUGGGCGAAAGCCUGACGGAGCAACGCCGCGUGAGUGAUGAAGGUCUUCGAUCGUAAAACUCUGUUAUUAGGGAAGAACAAAUGUGUAAGUAACUAUGCACGUCUUGACGGUACCUAAUCAGAAAGCCACGGCUAACUACGUG